rnacentral:rRNA from 1 species
AAGAGAUCGGGAUAACACCUGGAAACAGAUGCUAAUACCGGAUAACAACAGAUGAUGCCUAUCAACUGUUUAAAAGAUGGUUCUGCUAUCACUCUUGGAUGGACCUGCGGGUGCAUUAGCUAGUUGGGUAGGGGUAACGGCCUACCAAGGCGAUGACGCAUAGCCGAGUUGAGAGACUGAUCGGCCACAUUGGGACUGAGACACGGGCCCAAACUCCUACGGGAGGCAGCAGUAGGGGAAUCUUCCACAAAGGACGCAAGUCUGAUGGAGCAACGCCGCGUGAGUGAAGAAGGGUUUCGGCUCGUAAAGCUCUGUUGUUGGUGAAGAAGGACAGGGGGUAGUAACUGACCUUUGUUUGACGGUAAUCAAUUAGAAAGUCACGGCUAACUACGUGCCAGCAGCCGCGGUAAAU